UACAGAGGGUGCAAGCGUUAAUCGGAAUUACUGGGCGUAAAGCGUGCGUAGACGGUUACGUAAGUCAGAUGUGAAAGCCCCGGGCUCAACCUGGGAACUGCAUUUGUGACUGCAAGGCUAGAGUACGGCAGAGGGGGAUGGAAUUCCGCGUGUAGCAGUGAAAUGCGUAGAUAUGCGGAGGAACACCGAUGGCGAAGGCAAUCCCCUGGGCCUGUACUGACGCUCAUGCACGAAAGCGUGGGGAGCAAACAGG
rnacentral:rRNA from 1 species